rnacentral:rRNA from 1 species
UGGGGAAUAUUGGGCAAUGGGCGAAAGCCUUACCCAGCAACGCCGCGUGAGGGAAGAAGGUUUUCGGAUUGUAAACCUCUGUCCUGGGGGACGAAGGAAGUGACGGUACCCCGGGAGGAAGCCCCGGCUAACUACGUGCC